rnacentral:rRNA from 1 species
GCAAGUCUGGUGCCAGCAGCCGCGGUAAUUCCAGCUCCAAUAGCGUAUAUUAAAGUUGUUGCAGUUAAAAAGCUCGUAGUUGAACCUUGGGCCUGGCUGGCCGGUCCGCCUCACCGCGUGUACUGGUCCGGCCGGGCCUUUCCUUCUGGGGAACCUCAUGCCCUUCACUGGGCGUGCUGGGGAACCAGGACUUUUACUUUGAAAAAAUUAGAGUGUUCAAAGCAGGCCUUUGCUCGAAUACAUUAGCAUGGAAUAAUAGAAUAGGGCGUGUGGUUCUAUUUUGUUGGUUUCUAGGACCGCCGUAAUGAUUAAUAGGGAUAGUCGGGGGCAUCAGUAUUCAAGCGUCAGAGGUGAAAUUCUUGGAUUGCUUGAAGACUAACUACUGCGAAAGCAUUUGCCAA